UAGACCUCAGGUCAGACGAGACUACCCGCUGAACUUAAG
rnacentral:rRNA from 1 species